rnacentral:rRNA from 1 species
GAUGAACGCUGGCGGCGUGCCUAAUACAUGCAAGUCGAGCGAACAGACGAGGAGCUUGCUCCUUCGACGUUAGCGGCGGACGGGUGAGUAACACGUAGGUAACCUACCUAUAAGACUGGGAUAACUUCGGGAAACCGGAGCUAAUACCGGAUAAUAUUUCGAACCGCAUGGUUCGAUAGUGAAAGAUGGCUUUGCUAUCACUUAUAGAUGGACCUGCGCCGUAUUAGCUAGUUGGUAAGGUAACGGCUUACCAAGGCAACGAUACGUAGCCGACCUGAGAGGGUGAUCGGCCACACUGGAACUGAGACACGGUCCAGACUCCUACGGGAGGCAGCAGUAGGGAAUCUUCCGCAAUGGGCGAUAGCCUGACGGAGCAACGCCGCGUGAGUGAUGAAGGUCUUCGGAUCGUAAAACUCUGUUAUUAGGGAAGAACAAACGUGUAAGUAACUGUGCACGUCUUGACGGUACCUAAUCAGAAAGCCACGGCUAACUACGUG